UAAGGAAUAUUGGACAAUGGAGGCAACUCUGAUCCAGCCAUGCCGCGUGAAGGAAUAAGGCCCUAUGGGUUGUAAACCUCUUUUAGACGGGACAAAACCCCUUUACGUGUAAAGGGUUGAUGGUACUGUCAGAAUAAGCAUCGGCUAACUUCGUGCCAGCAGCCGCGGUAAUACGAAGGAUGCAAGCGUUAUCCGGAAUUAUUGGGUUUAAAGGGUGCGUAGGCGGACUAAUAAGUCAGUGGUGAAAGCCUGCAGCUUAACUGCAGAAUUGCCAUUGAUACUGUUAGUCUUGAGUACAGUUGAGGUAGGCGGAAUGUGUCAUGUAGCGGUGAAAUGCUUAGAUAUGACACAGAACACCGAUUGCGAAGGCAGCUUGCUAAGCUGUAACUGACGCUGAGGCACGAAAGCGUGGGGAGCAAACA
rnacentral:rRNA from 1 species